UAUUUAUAUGGAGAUGUGGGGCUAUAAAUAGGAGGGAUGAAGCCAGUGGAGAUCAGAUUCUCUCUACAGAGACCUUAACAUGACUGAGACUCAACCAUGGCUCCUUCAAUAACUUCAGCAAUGACCAACCCUCAGAAGCAUCUGACUCUGAACCACAAGCUCAGAAAGCCUCUGGUGGAGAAACUACACUGAGAGAAUUGACAGCUCCAUUGGCAGAUCAAGGCUCUCCUUGGUCCAGAGCUCCUAAAACAGCAGCCAGACCCUGAGAUGGAGAAAGCAGACAUCCUAGAGAUGAUAGUUUGCUUCCUCACACAGAGGAUGGAACAGAACCAGCAGCAGAGAAGAAACUCUACAUGUUGAGGCUGGUUUUGAUGAAAAACUAACAUUGUUCUGAACUCCACCAUCCAGACCAUCAAAGAUGAGGAGGAAGAUCCUAAAAUUCUGUGGAGACCUUGGUAGAAACCUUCUGACUGAAGUUUCUUUUGGAUGUAUGAGGAGAUAACUUCAGUCAAAGAUGACUGGUGUGAGAGAUGUUGAGGACUUUUCAUUCUGUUUGAACUGAGCUUCUAUGAUGUGUCUGUUUUCUUGUUUGUCUACAUUUCCAGUGGAAAUGGCAGCAUAUUCUUUUAUGUUAAGAUAGAAAAUAAUUUUAUGCAUAUUGCAUAAAGCUUCAUUGAUUGAUUUACAACUUUUUUUUAACUAUAAUAAUGCAGAUAUAUCAGUAGAAAGACCAUAUUGGUUAAAGAAUUACUGAGCUACUUGUUCAAAUUUAAAAGAACGGGAUCUUCUGUUUGUAAAGAAGAAUUGCUUCUGGAUAUGAAGCGUCUUUAUUACUUUGCUUUAUAAGCAAGAGAUAUAUAUUUUCUUUAUGAAAUGACAUAAGCAGUUUGAUGCAUGUUGCAUGAAUCAAUUUAUUUCCUUUUUUUGCUAUGUAAAUGUUAUAGUGCAUGACUGCACUUUCAGCUAAGGCAUUUUUCUGCUAUAUUUUACGUUCGAUUUAUCGCUGUUAUGGGAAAUGUAUAGUUCUUCGGAUGAACCAGUGUUAUUAAUGGACUUUUAAUCUAUUGGAUUAUUUUGAUUUGGUCUUAUUUUAAGAUCUCACUGUUGAUACAUUAACUUUUAAUGGCUAUCUGAUAAGCUAAUUUUAAUAACUGUUUAAUGUGGGGUGAUCCAGAGGUAACUUUGAUUGUUUUAGAUCAGAUGAUAUAGACGUUCUUUUGCUGAACAAUUUGUCAUCAUCAGCUAUUGGGACCACAGACCUAUAAUAUAUUCUAUCAUUAAUAGAUCUGUUAAUCUGUUUUUCAUGUUAAAAAAGUUUGUGUUGAUAAUAUUCCACUCAUCAAAUCACUAACAUCAAUUUUGUGCUUGUU